GGGCUCUGGUGAGACCACAUCUGGAGUAUUGCGUACAGUUUUGUGCAGAAUAAAGUCUGGGAAAAUAUUGGAAGCUUGGUUUAUACUAAUCAUUGAAACAAUGUAUUAACAUAGAGAUGUAUUGUCUGGGCACAGCACCAUAUAAGAUAUCUGUCUGAACUGCCUGUCCCAUCUAAGGACAAGGUAAUGGCUUUCAUCCAAGUUUUACAAGCUUGUUUUAGUUCACAGGCGGAUGCCCAAUCUGGAACCAAGAUGGCAGUCAUUUGAAAACAAAAUGGAGUUAGUUGUCCUUCCGUAAUGGGCAGCUGUACUGAAGCUGUGCCAAGAUUUGAGAUUAAGGCUAACUUUGCAAA